rnacentral:snRNA from 1 species
CGACCACUAACGAGUGGAAACU